ensembl:piRNA 21ur-7612 ncRNA
CGAAAUCAUCAAUGGACUAUU